UACACACCGCCCGUCAAGCCAUGGGAGCCGAGAGUGCCCGAAGCCGUGAUCCCAACCGUCAAGGAGGGUAACGUCGAAGGCAAGCUUGGUGACUGGGACU
rnacentral:rRNA from 1 species